rnacentral:rRNA from 1 species
CCUACGGGUGGCAGCAGUAGGGAAUAUUGCUCAAUGGGGGAAACCCUGAAGCAGCAACGCCGCGUGGAGGAUGAAGGUUUUCGGAUUGUAAACUCCUUUUGUUAGAGAAGAUAAUGACUGUAUCUAACGAAUAAGCACCGGCCAAAUCCGUGCCAGCAGCCGCGGUAAUACGGAGGGUGCAAGCGUUACUCGGAAUCACUGGGCGUAAAGCGCGCGUAGGCGGGAUAGCAAGUCAGAUGUGAAAUCCUAUGGGUUAAACAUAGAACUGCAUUUGAAACUGUUAUUCUAGAGUAUGGGAGAGGUAGGUGGAAUUCUUGGUGUAGGGGUAAAAUCCGUAGAGAUCAAGAGGAAUACUCAUUGCGAAGGCGACCUGCUAGAACGUAACUGACGCUGAUGCGCGAAGGCGUGGGGAGCAAACAGGAUUAGAUACCCCUGUAGUC